rnacentral:misc_RNA from 1 species
GCAAACUUGGUCAUUUAGAGGAAGUAAAAGUCGUAACAAGGUUUCCGUAGGUGAACCUGCGGAAGGAUCAUUCACAAUAAGUGUUUUAUGGCACUUUAAAUCCAUAUCCACCUUGUGUGCAAUGUCGAUCACUGUCUAUCAUUUUAUGUGAGGGACUCUGAUCAAACAUAUCAACCUGAUCUAUUAAUUAAUUGUCUGAAGUAUUAUAUGAAUAAAUUAAUUCAAAAUACAACUUUCAACAACGGAUCUCUUGGCUCUCGCAUCGAUGAAGAACGCAGC